rnacentral:misc_RNA from 1 species
GAUGAAGAACGCAGUGAAAUGCGAUACGUAAUGUGAAUUGCAGAAUUCAGUGAAUCAUCGAAUCUUUGAACGCAUAUUGCGCUCUCUGGUAUUCCGGAGAGCAUGCUUGUUUGAGUAUCAGUAAACACCUCAACUCCCCUUUCUUUUUUUGAAAUGGGAGCUGGACUUGAGUGAUCCCAACGCUUUUCUCACCGAAAAGUGGCGGGUUACUUGAAAUGCAGGUGCAGCUGGACUUUUCUCUGAGCUAAAAGCAUAUCUAUUUAGUCUGCCUAAAAAACAGAUUAUUACCUUUGCUGCAGCUAACAUAAAGGAGAUUAGUUCUUGUGCUGACUGAUGCAGGAUUCACAAAGACGGCUUCGGCCGACUUUGUAAACUCGAUCUCAAAUCAAGUAAGACUACCCGCUGAACUUAAGCAUAUCAAUAAGCGGAGGA